ACCUGCUCAAUGAAUUUUUUUAAAUAGCCGCAGUACCUUGACUGUGCAAAGGUAGCAUAAUCAGUUGGCUUAUAAUUGAAGUCUGGCAUGAAUGGAUCUACUGGAAAAAAUUGUCUACUAAAAAUAAAUUGAAGUUACUUAAUAAGUGAAAAUUCUUAUGUAUAUAUAAAAGACGAGAAGACCCUAGAAAUUUUUUAUAAAUGAAUAUAUAAAUAUUUUGUUGGGGCGACAAGGUAACAAAUAACUUACCUAUUUUUUUGAAUUUUAUUUAAAGAGUAAUUAAAUUACUCUAGGGAUAACAGCAUUAUUUAUUAAAAAGUUUGUGACCUCGAUGUUGGACUAGGAAAAUUUUUAUUUAGAAGAUAAAAGUAUAGGCUCUGUUCGAGCUUCUUUUCCUACGUGAUCUGAGUUCAGACCGGA
rnacentral:rRNA from 1 species